AAAAUAUUCUAUCAGAAUCCAACACAAAAAGCAAAACUUCACAAUCAAAAUCAACAGUAGAAGCUGAGAGAUUCAGAACCGAGGGAGAUACCAGAAGGCGUGGGGAAGCCAAGAGUGACGUAAGUGUAGAGAUCGAUGGCGGCAGCCACAGCAGUGGAUCCGUGAACCACUGCAUGUUCACCUACGAGUAUAAUUUUUCCGGGUGCUCUGGCUCUCACCUCCAUUUCUUGGAUAAAUUACGCAGAUUUUUCACCCGACUAGACCGAUAACGUUGUGGAUUAUAAAUUCGAGUCUCUGUGUGUUUUUACGAACGAUGCUAGUAUAUAUAUGUUAUAUGGCGAAAGCUUUGACGGUGAAGUCGUACGCGAGUCCGAUUUGGAUGGCGACUGAGGUGGGUGGCGCGACGGUUUGAAUCGAUUAUUUGAUGCUUG
rnacentral:lncRNA from 1 species